CGCGGGGUAGAGCAGCUAGGUAGCUCGUCGGGCUCAUAACCCGAAGGUCGUAGGUUCGAAUCCUCCCCCCGCAACCA
rnacentral:tRNA from 2 species